GUCGCCUCACUCUGAGAUGUGGUGGCAGCUGACUUUGAGUCACCAAACCACUCUGAGGACAUUCCUAUUCUGUUCAGGUUCACUGCCGGCUUGACCUCUGACAUCUGCUCCACAGGAGCUGAAAGGCCAUCACCACGACCUGGAGCCAAGACAAGACAACAAGAUUUAUGAUGUACCAAAAUAUACCACAUCACUGCUGGUGGAGUUCAAAAGACGGCAGGCGGGUCAUACCUUUAUGUUGUACUCCCAAAGCAUCCUCAAGAAGUCCAGUACUGUGUGAGGAAGAGGACCCUGAGUAGCAAUGUAAGCCCUGGAGCCUGAC